rnacentral:misc_RNA from 1 species
AACGCACAUUGCGCCCUCUGGUAUUCCGGGGGGCAUGCCUGUUCGAGCGUCAUUACACCCCUCAAGCACUGCUUGGUAUUGGGUGCCCGCCCUUCCUUCGAGGGGCGCGCCCGAAAUCCAGUGGCGGUCCCGGUGGACUUCAAGCGUAGUAAAUAUUCCGCUUUGGAAGCCUCCGCCGUGCGGCCCUGCCAGUAAGCCUUUUAUCUAAAACAUUGACCUCGGAUCAGGUAGGGAUACCCGCUGAACUUAA